CAAGUUCUCAACCGCGCUUGCGGCUUGGAAGUGGAUUUGCAGGUCUUUUAUGUUCUGCUCCUCUAAAAUGAAUUAGUGGUGGUCUAAUCCUACUAGUACAGGUGUGAUAAAACUAUCUAUGCCUCUAGUAUCCAUGAUACCGCUUCUAAAUGAUGAAUAAGUUGGUGA
rnacentral:misc_RNA from 1 species